GAGUAACGCGUAUCCAACCUGCCUUACACUCUUGGACAGCCUUCUGAAAGGGAGAUUAAUACAAGAUGUUAUCAUGAGUAAGCAUUUUCGCAUGAUUAAAGGUUUACCGGUGUAAGAUGGGGAUGCGUUCCAUUAGAUAGUAGGCGGGGUAACGGCCCACCUAGUCUUCGAUGGAUAGGGGUUCUGAGAGGAAGGUCCCCCACAUUGGAACUGAGACACGGUCCAAACUCCUACGGGAGGCAGCAGUGAGGAAUAUUGGUCAAUGGACGAGAGUCUGAACCAGCCAAGUAGCGUGAAGGAUGAAGGUUCUAUGGAUUGUAAACUUCUUUUAUACGGGAAUAAACGGAUCCACGUGUGGAUUUUUGCAUGUACCGUAUGAAUAAGGAUCGGCUAACUCCGUGCCAGCAGCCGCGGUAAUACGGAGGAUCCGAGCGUUAUCCGGAUUUAUUGGGUUUAAAGGGAGCGUA
rnacentral:rRNA from 1 species